AAAAAGACAAACCUGGUUUCCGUGUCUAACGUUUGACCCUCCGUUUUAUUUAAAAAAAUUAUGAAAAAAAUUAAAAAGACGAGUCACGCAUAAAAUAUUAAUCAUGUUUUAUCAUCUAACAACAAUGAAAAUACGAAUUAUAAAAAAAUUUCAUAUAAGAUGGACAGUCAAAGUUGGACACGAAAACCUAGGGUUUGUCUUUUU
rfam:Oryza barthii chromosome 1, whole genome shotgun sequence.